rnacentral:misc_RNA from 1 species
AACGCACAUUGCGCCCCUCGGUAUCCCGGGGGGCAUGCCUGUUCGAGCGUCAUUUCUACCACUCAAGUUUAACUUGGUAUUGGGCACUGUGGCCCCCCUUUAAAAGGGGGCAACAUGCUUUAAAUUUAGCCGGCAACAAGCACCAGUUCCGAGCGUAGCAGUAAAACAUUUCGCUUUGGGGGCUUUGGAGCAUUGUUCACCGUAUAGUUUACUACAGUUUGACCUCGGAUCAGGCAGGGAUACCCGCUGAACUUAA